GAGUUUGAUCAUGGCUCAGGAUUAACGCUGGCGGCAUGCCUAAUACAUGCAAGUCGAACGGAGUAGCAAUACUUAGUGGCGAACGGGUGAGUAACACGUAUCUAAUCUACCAUUUAGUGGGGAAUAACUGUUGGAAACGACAGCUAAUACCGCAUAAUAUUGCUGGAUAAUUUCCAGUAAUGAAAGGAGCUUUCAAGCUCCGCUGAUUGAUGAGGAUGCGGCGCAUUAGCUAGUUGGUAGGGUAAUGGCCUACCAAAGCAAUGAUGCGUAGCCGAUCUGAGAGGAUGAACGGCCACAUUGGGACUGAGACACAGCCCAAACUUCUACGGAAGGCAGCAGUAGGGAAUUUUUCACAAUGGGCGAAAGCCUGAUGGAGCAAUGCCGCGUGACUGAUGAAGGUCUUCGGAUUGUAAAGGUCUGUUGUAAGGGAAGAAAUGGUAAAACAGGAAAUGGUUUUAUCUAUGACGGUACCUUACCAGAAAGCCACGGCUAACUAUGUGCCAGCAGCCGCGGUAAUACAUAGGUGGCAAGCGUUAUCCGGAUUUAUUGGGCGUAAAGGGUGCGUAGACGGUUUUGCAAGUCUGAGGUUAAAUUUAGGAGCUCAACUCCUAAUCGCCUUGGAAACUACAAGACUAGAGUAUAGGAGAGGUUAGUGGAAUUCCAUGUGUAGCGGUGGAAUGUGUAGAUAUAUGGAGGAACACCAGUGGCGAAC
rnacentral:rRNA from 1 species